UGCUGCCUGUCUGCAUCUGGUCCCCAAAUGUCACAGAGUCCCCAAGGCACCACUGCCAUUGCUAUGCUGCCCCAACUCCAUGCUGGAGACUGGGGAAUCUGAGGCCAGGGCAGUUUACCUCUUCCUACAGCUCCUGGGGGAUAUCCAGGCUUUCUGAGCAGCUUCAGCAUCAUUCACUCUUUUUGCCUCUGGAAAAUCAAGAGGGGAGGUCUGGGUUGGACACAACUGUCCUGGAGCGCAGCAAGGAGGCAGAGCUGGGGUGAGCAGAGGUGAAAGGCACCUUUUCCAACAGCCACACUGUCAUCAUAGCAGGAUUGGUGAUUGGACUGCUCUUAUUCUUGGCUAUCAUCAUUACCACUGUUAAAUUAAAAGCUCCCAGAGCAGGUAGGAUUCCUGGCUCCCUCAGCCUCCUUCCUUGUUUAUUCUUGAGAUCCGGAGGAAAACCAUCCAUCACCACAGCUUGGGUAUGUAGCUGUUCCCAGAGCUCCAGACGCUUUCACCCCCUC